AUGGAUCAUUUUUUUAUUAACAUAAAAUACUCCACGCACAACCAAACUAAACAGAAACAUCACUUUGAAAUUUUCACACUAUCCACCACCAUUCCGUGUUCCCUAUAUCUUUCAUUUCACACCCCUUUUCCCUCAUCACAAACUUUAUUCCUCUCUUCAUAUCGUAUCAUAAUUCUAUUCUCUUCAUGCAUCAAAGUCAUCAUGUAUCAAACAUGUUACAUAUUUUCUACUAUGCAACAUAACACUUAA